UGGGGAAUAUUGCACAAUGGGCGAAAGCCUGAUGCAGCAACGCCGCGUGAGUGAAGAAGGUUUUCGGAUUGUAAAGCUCUGUCUUUGGGGACGAUAAUGACGGUACCCAAGGAGGAAGCCACGGCUAACUACGUGCCAGCAGCCGCGGUAAUACGUAGGUGGCGAGCGUUGUCCGGAAUUACUGGGCGUAAAGAGUGCGUAGGCGGAUAUUUAAGUGAGAUGUGAAAUACCCGGGCUUAACCCGGGCACUGCAUUUCAAACUGGAUAUCUAGAGUGCGGGAGAGGAGAAUGGAAUUCCUAGUGUAGCGGUGAAAUGCGUAGAGAUUAGGAAGAACACCAGUGGCGAAGGCGAUUCUCUGGACCGUAACUGACGCUGAGGCACGAAAGCGUGGGUAGCAAACAGG
rnacentral:rRNA from 1 species